AGGAGUCCGGAGUUCAAGCUUUUUGAUUUUUCAGAAGUAUCAAAUGCUACAAAUAACUUCUCAGAUGAAAAUAAAUUGGGGCAAGGUGGCUUUGGUCCAGUAUACAAGGGCCAGCUUCCAGAAGGUUUGGAGAUAGCAAUUAAGAGACUUGCUUCACAUUCUGGGCAAGGUUUCACAGAGUUCAAAAAUGAAGUCCAACUCAUAGCCAAGCUCCAGUACACAAAUCUGGUUAGACUGUUGGGAUGUUGCUCACAAGGGGAGGAAAAAAUAUUGAUCUAUGAAUAUUUGCCAAAUAAAAGCUUGGACUCCUUUAUCUUUGAUGAAACUAAAAGAGCUUUACUGAACUGGAAUAAACGAAAAGCAAUUAUCGAAGGAAUAGCGCAAGGACUUCUAUAUUUGCAUAAACACUCCCGGUUACGUGUCAUACAUAGAGAUCUUAAAGCAAGUAACAUUCUUUUGGACAGUGAGAUGAAUCCUAAAAUAUCAGAUUUUGGGCUUGCAAAAAUAUUCAGUUCAAAUGAUAUUGAAGGGAACACAAAAAGGGUUGCUGGGACAUAUGGGUAUAUGGCUCCAGAGUAUGCAUCAGAGGGCCUCUUCUCGAUCAAGUCUGAUGUAUUCAGCUUUGGUGUUCUGAUUCUCGAGAUCAUCCAUGGAAAAAGGAACUCGUCUUUCCAUAAAAAUGGGGACUUCUUCAACCUUCUUGGAUAUGCAUGGAAGUUGUGGAAAGAAGAAAGAUGGCUUGAGUUCGUUGACGAAUCAAUAGUUUCAGAGUCACAUGCAUCAGACACAAUGAGGUGUAUCAACAUCGCAUUGCUGUGUGUACAAGAGAAUGCAGCUGAUAGACCCACCACAAUAAGCAUGGUUACAAUGCUAAGCAGCGAAAGUAUAGCCCUGCCUGAACCUAAGCAUCCAGCAUAUUUCCACGUAAGGGUAACGGAUGAAGAGCCACCUAGCGCUAACGAUGUGACAAUGUCUGCUCUAUAG
rnacentral:rRNA from 1 species